ACUUAACCAUUAGUUUACUAUUGGAGCGGUUAGUGGCGGACUGGUGAGUAACACGUAAGCAACCUGCCUAUCAGAGGGGAACAACAGUUAGAAAUGACUGCUAAUACCGCAUAUGCCUUAGAAUCACAUGGUUCAAAAGGGAAAGGAGCAAUCCGCUGAUAGAUGGGCUUGCGUCUGAUUAGCUAGUUGGUGGGGUAAUGGCCUACCAAGGCAACGAUCAGUAGCCGAACUGAGAGGUUGAACGGCCACAUUGGGACUGAGAUACGGCCCAGACUCCUAUGGGAGGCAGCAGUCGGGAAUAUUGCGCAAUGGAGGAAACUCUGACGCAGUGACGCCGCGUGCAGGAAGAAGGUUUUCGGAUUGUAAACUGCUUUAGACAGGGAAGAACAAAGACAGUACCUGUAGAAUAAGCUCCGGCUAACUACGUGCCAGCAGCCGCGGUAAUACGUAGGGAGCGAGCGUUAUCCGGAUUUAUUGGGUGUAAAGGGUGCGUAGACGGGAAGUCAAGUUAGUUGUGAAAUCCCUCGGCUUAACUGAGGAACUGCAACUAAAACUGAUUUUCUUGAGUACUGGAGAGGAAAGUGGAAUUCCUAGUGUAGCGGUGAAAUGCGUAGAUAUUAGGAGGAACACCGGUGGCGAAGGCGACUUUCUGGACAGAAACUGACGUUGAGGCACGAAAGUGUGGGGAGCAAACAGGAUUAGAUACCCUGGUAGUCCACACCGU
rnacentral:rRNA from 1 species